rnacentral:rRNA from 1 species
GACGAACGCUGGCGGCGCGCCUAACACAUGCAAGUCGAACGAGCGAGAGAGAGCUUGCUUUCUCGAGCGAGUGGCGAACGGGUGAGUAACGCGUGAGGAACCUGCCUCAAAGAGGGGGACAACAGUUGGAAACGACUGCUAAUACCGCAUAAGCCCACGGGUCGGCAUCGACCAGAGGGAAAAGGAGCAAUCCGCUUUGAGAUGGCCUCGCGUCCGAUUAGCUAGUUGGUGAGGUAAUGGCCCACCAAGGCGACGAUCGGUAGCCGGACUGAGAGGUUGAACGGACACAUUGGGACUGAGACACGGCCCAGACUCCUACGGGAGGCAGCAGUGGGGAAUAUUGCACAAUAGGGGAAACCCUGAUGCAGCGACGCCGCGUGGAGGAAGAAGGUCUUCGGAUUGUAAACUCCUGUUGUUGGGGAAGAUAAUGACGGUACCCAACAAGGAAGUGACGGCUAACUACGUG